rnacentral:rRNA from 1 species
GGGCCCGCACAAGCGGUGGAGUAUGUGGUUUAAUUCGAUGCAACGCGAAGAACCUUACCAGGGUUUGACAUCCUGCGAAUCUCUUGGAAACAGGAGAGUGCCUUCGGGAACGCAGUGACAGGUGGUGCAUGGCUGUCGUCAGCUCGUGUCGUGAGAUGUUGGGUUAAGUCCCGCAACGAGCGCAACCCACGUCUUUAGUUGCCAGCAUUUAGUUGGGCACUCUGGAGAGACUGCCGGUGACAAACCGGAGGAAGGUGGGGACGACGUCAAGUCCUCAUGGCCCUUAUGGUCGGGGCUACACACGUACUACAAUGGGCACUACAAUGGGCAGCGAGACCGCGAGGUGGAGCAAAUCCCAAAAAAGUGUCCUCAGUUCGGAUUGGAGUCUGCAACUCGACUCCAUGAAGUUGGAAUUGCUAGUAAUCGC